AGACUCUCUGUGACUCCUACGGGAGGCAGCAGUGGGGAAUAUUGCACAAUCGGGGGAAACCCUGAUGCAGCCAUGCCGCGUGUGUGAAGAAGGCCUUCGGGUUGUAAAGCACUUUCAGUAGGGAGGAAGGUAGUGUAGUUAAUACCUGCAUUAUUUGACGUUACCUACAGAAGAAGCACCGGCUAACUCCGUGCCAGCAGCCGCGGUAAUACGGAGGGUGCGAGCGUUAAUCGGAAUUACUGGGCGUAAAGCGCAUGCAGGCGGCCUGUUAAGUCAGAUGUGAAAGCCCCGGGGCUUAACCUCGGAAUUGCAUUUGAAACUGGCAGGCUAGAGUCUUGUAGAGGGGGUAGAAUUUCAGGUGUAGCGGUGAAAUGCGUAGAGAUCUGAAGGAAUACCAGUGGCGAAGGCGGCCCCCUGGACAAAGACUGACGCUCAGAUGCGAAAGCGUGGGGAGCAAACAGGAUUAGAUACCCUGGUAG
rnacentral:rRNA from 1 species